GAUGAACGCUAGCGAUAGGCUUAACACAUGCAAGUCGAGGGGCAGCGAGGGUAGCAAUACCUGUCGGCGACCGGCGCACGGGUGAGUAACGCGUAUGUAACCUGCCCGCAACAGGGGGAUAACCCGGCGAAAGUCGGACUAAUACCGCAUAAAACAGGGGUCCCGCAUGGGACUAUUUGUUAAAGAUUUAUCGGUUGCGGAUGGGCAUGCGUACCAUUAGGUAGUUGGUGAGGUAACGGCUCACCAAGCCUUCGAUGGUUAGGGGUUCUGAGAGGAAGGUCCCCCACACUGGUACUGAGACACGGACCAGACUCCUACGGGAGGCAGCAGUGAGGAAGAUUGGUCAAUGGGCGAGAGCCUGAACCAGCCAAGUCGCGUGAAGGAUGACUGCCCUAUGGGUUGUAAACUUCUUUUACAAGGGAAUAAAAUGAGAUACGUGUAUUUUAUUGCAUGUACCUUGGGAAUAAGCAUCGGCUAACUCCGUG
rnacentral:rRNA from 1 species